GGAGAGAUGGCUCAGCUGCUAAGAGCGCUGACUGCUCUUCCAGAGGUCCUGAGUUCAAAUCCCAGCAACCACA
rnacentral:tRNA from 1 species